CACUUUCUUUGCCUGAUACUUUUUUUUAUUGGAUGCCAGAUACUGUGAAGUUUACAGUGUUGGGUGCUGGGUAUUUUUUUUUAUCACUAUACAUAUUCUUUGUUCUAGGGUGCAGUUCAUUCCUUGGAAGUAGUUUGAUUCUUCUGGACCUUACUUUUAAGCUUUAUUGGUUGAACCAGAGUAACGCUUAGUCUCGAGUUGGUCUCCCCACUACGGAGGCAAAGCCCUUCUGGGUACUCUCCCCAUGGUUUCUGAGGUUUGCUAGCUCCGGCCCACCUCGUGUGAGCUCCCAGUGCGGUUCCCUCACGCCUGUGGAUGUUCCGGGCGGUCUCCUCUUACCGAGCAGUUCCCUCAUAUGCACGCACUGGCAGUGCUCAACUUAAGACUCAAGGGCGGGGCCUCUGCUUCUCUCUCCUCGGCUCUUUCCACUUCCCUGCCAACUCGAGCCGCUUCGGCCUCUGUGGACUCCCAGCUCCGUCUCCUCAACUCCUGGAGACCUCCGACCUCCACCUGGGUCCCCACCGCUGCACCACAGCCUGGACUCUCUCCAGGCCGUAAGCUGGAGAAUCACAGACCUUUUCUCUUUUCUAUCUCUUUUCUAUUGUUUCUUUUCUAUCUCUCGGGGAAUCACUGGCCUUCGUUGCCUGGUGUCUAAUGUGUUGAAAACCAUUGCCUUACGUAUUUCAUUUGGAUUUCUUAGAUGGGUAAGCAAAGGAGGAAAAUGUUCCUUGGGAAGAAGGAAGUGAAGACUACAUGUAUGGAUCAACUAGGAUGCAAGAUGCUGAACUAACUUGAAGACUGGAGAGGAGGUCAGUCAGGUCCAGCCGAUCCAUGCUUGUUUUCAUUAUGCUCCAGAACAAACCCUGUCCAGGGCUUCCCCGUGACAGCGGUGCUCCGCGUUUCCCACAGGUUGUCUCACCUACACGAUCUCUCUCCUCCCUACAGCAUGGUUUGCUAUUGGGGCACCUUUCCGUCUGGCUUAUUUUGCUUCAUCUGCCGCAGGCUCACUACCAGUGCUCUGUGUUUAAACGUUGUGCCCGAAAAUCACAGCUAAGAGAUCUCCAGUGAAUCCCGUCCGUCUCUGAAUAGCCUUUCAGCACCAGUGUGGAUGUCUACACGGGUUUGCCUCUGUUACAACUGGUUUCUUGCUGGCCCUAAGUAGAAAGGUGAAGGUGGGCAGGAAAACUGAAAACAAAACAGGCGGUAGUGGAAAUGAAAAUCACCCGGACUGUCGUCAAGUACUUGCCACGUGGCUCCUCUGCCUUUGUCCAAGGAGGCCGAUUGCCCCACAUGGACUCUGGUCAGGGGCCUUAGGGAGCUGCUCACAGAUUGUCCCAGAGAGUUGGCAACAACAGAAGGUUCACCAGCAGAGGAACAGCUGAACAAAUUAUGGACAUCCAUGCAAUAGGACUUUGUAUCAUUUAAAAGGUAGGUAGGUCUAAAGGUACUGGCCUGGAAAAAUGGGGCAUAUUAAGUGAAAUGUCAUGAUAUACACUAUAGAAAACAGAAACCAGUAAGUAAAGCAUGACCCCAAAACUGAGCAUGUGUGUGUGUCUAAGGAAAAUGUCAGAAAUGACGUGAACUGUUAACAAUGGUUAGUUACUUUAGAGGAUUGCGGGAGGAAGGGUAAAUUAGGUUGGGAUGGUCUUACUUUGUACAGUUUUUUAAAGUAGUGAAGUUUUAAUUUUUUGUGUUUUUUAGUAUUUUAUAUAUAAAAAACAAAACUGGUAAAAAAAAGAAAACCUCAACAUUUGGGUAAGUGGGUAAAUGAUGCCAAACAUUGAGUGAUCCAUGGGCUCUAUGUCACUCUUACUAGGUGUCACAAACCCACUUUUUAGCCAUGUGACAUCUGGGCACA